CACAUCCCCCACCCUGCUGCAGUUUAUAGCCCCAUGUGUUUUAUUCUGGAAAAUUCCAGUGGUCAGAAGCACCAUGAGGACUAUUGACAUCAGCGACUGGGGAAAUCCCAGUAGAGGGUGCUACUCAGUGGGAGCAGAGAACGUUUUGGGCCCAUAGGAGCUCCAUCCCAGCACUGAUGCUGCCUUCUCUAUGGAUCCAGAGCCCACACAACAACCACAGGAAAAUAC